UAAUUACUCCCUCCGUCCGGAAUUACUUGUCAUCAAAAUGGAUGAAAAUGGAUGUAUCUAGAACUAAAAUACAUCUAGAUACAUCCAUUUCAAUGACAAGUAUUUCCGGACGGAGGGAGUAUGUA
rnacentral:pre_miRNA from 1 species